UAGUAACGGCGAGUGAAGCGGCAACAGCUCAAAUUUGAAAUCUGGCCCUCGGGUCCGAGUUGUAAUUUGCAGAGGAUGCUUUUGGUGCGGUGCCUUCCGAGUUCCCUGGAACGGGACGCCAUAGAGGGUGAGAGCCCCGUCUGGUUGGACACCAAGCCUCUGUAAAGCUCCUUCGACGAGUCGAGUAGUUUGGGAAUGCUGCUCUAAAUGGGAGGUAUAUGUCUUCUAAAGCUAAAUACCGGCCAGAGACCGAUAGCGCACAAGUAGAGUGAUCGAAAGAUGAAAAGCACUUUGAAAAGAGGGUUAAACAGUACGUGAAAUUGUUGAAAGGGAAGCGCUUGUGACCAGACUUGGGCCCGGUUAAUCAUCCAGCGUUCUCGCUGGUGCACUUGGCCGGCCCAGGCCAGCAUCAGUUUGGCGCGGGGGACAAAGGCUUCGGGAACGUGGCUCCCUCGGGAGUGUUAUAGCCCGCUGCGUAAUACCCUGCGCCGGACUGAGGUUCGCGCAUUGCAAGGAUGCUGGCGUAAUGGUCAUUAGCGACCCGUCUUGAAACACGGACCAAGGAGUCGUCCUCGUAUGCGAGUGUUCGGGUGUCAAACCCCUACGCGUAAUGAAAGUGAACGCAGGUGAGAGCUUCGGCGCAUCAUCGACCGAUCCUGAUGUUCUCGGAUGGAUUUGAGUAAGAGCAUACGGGGCCGGACCCGAAAGAAGGUGAACUAUGCCUGUAUAGGGUGAAGCCAGAGGAAACUCUGGUGGAGGCUCGCAGCGGUUCUGACGUGCAAAUCGAUCGUCAAAUAUGGCAUGGGGCGAAAGACUAAUC
rnacentral:rRNA from 1 species